ACGCAAUAGAUACCCGGGUAGUCCACGCCCUAAACGAUGUCUACUAGUUGUCGGGUCUUAAUUGACUUGGUAAAGCAGCUAAACGCGUGAAGUAGACCGCCUGGGGAGUACGGUCGCAAGAUUAAAACUCAAAGGAAUUGACGGGGACCCGCACAAGCGGUGGAUGAUGUGGAUUAAUUCGAUGCAACGCGAAAAACCUUACCUACCCUUGACAUGGAUGGAAUCCCUGAGAGAUUGGGGAUGCUCGAAAGAGAACCAUUACACAGGUGCUGCAUGGCUGUCGUCAGCUCGUGUCGUGAGAUGUUGGGUUAAGUCCCGCAACGAGCGCAACCCUUGUCAUUAGUUGCUACGAAAGGGCACUCUAAUGAGACUGCCGGUGACAAACCGGAGGAAGGUGGGGAUGACGUCAAGUCCUCAUGGCCCUUAUGGGUAGGGCUUCACACGUCAUACAAUGGUACAUACAGAGGGCCGCCAACCCGCGAGGGGAGCUAAUCCCAGAAAGUGUAUCGUAGUCCGGAUUGUAGUCUGCAACUCG
rnacentral:rRNA from 1 species